rnacentral:lncRNA from 1 species
GCUAAUAUGCCAAUUUUUAAGGAAUGGAGGGAGUACAUAUGUUACUAGUCUAUGUUACUACUUCAAUAGUGGGUAGUAGUAACAUAUUUGUGAUAACAAAAAAUUCUCAUUUAUUAGUUUUAUAUACUCAUUCUAUAUUGGUAAGUGUGAUGCGAUAGUAACAUAUCUAGUUAUCCCAACCUUCUCUUUCCCCAGUAAUAACAUGACACAUCAUCAAAAUUGUUUGCUUGGCACUUUAGUUAUCACCUUUAUUACUCCCACUAUGACUAGUCUAACAGAAGGACAACCUAGGCAUUUACGAGAGCACGGUCUAGUGAAGUCGGAUUUGAAUUACUCCGUAUGGCCGUAUCCAUUUUUCAGUACUUGCAUCUUAUUACAUGAAUCUCAGGUAUUAAAUCAGAUGGUUAUUAGCAUCGACCUUCUUACUCGCCCUUAAAAAAAAAGAAAUAGCGAAACCUUUGAAUCAUACGUGGAUUUUGUUUAGCCGUCCUUAGGAGGGAUGUCAGCCGCCGCUUCCACCGUGCGGCGCCAUGGAUCUUGUCAAUUAGACUCUCUUUCCAUUUUUCAAUUUAAUUUCAAAGUCUCGUAAAUCAAUGAAAGUAAUGUUCAUCCUUCUGAAAUUGUACAAGAUUUAAAAACCAAAAGUUGGAAAAAAAAUCUAAAGUUUCACAUGAAUCAAAAGUUGAGAAAAAUGAAAGUGGAGAGGAUGAAAAGGAAAAGAAAAAAAAUAUCUUCCUAUGUUCCUAAAUCUCUUCCUCUGUAUAAUUAGCAAAAUUAAUUGAGUGGGAAAUGCGAAAGGAAGAUUAAACAUCAAUAUGCUCCUCUUUUUUGGUCUGAAAAGGACAGCAUGUAUUUGGUUAGCAUAUAGAUACUGAGAGAGUAUAUCGUACACCCUCCUUCUUUCAGAAAGGUUGGCGUAUUUGGUUUUCACACCCUACUUUUCAAAUCCAGGAAAACUUAUUUUAAUAAAAAUAAACUUUACCGUAUUUCAAAAACUUUUUUCAGGGUUUAUUUGGAACUGAUGGAAUUUAAAUUUCUAUUGGAUUUUGCUUGAAGAAUUAGAAUCGAUGCUUUUGUUUGGAGUAUGAAACUAUUUUGAAAUCUUAAACUUUUUCAGCUUG